UACAGAGGGGGCAAGCGUUGUUCGGAAUUACUGGGCGUAAAGGGCGCGUAGGCGGCCUUCUAAGUCGAACGUGAAAUCCCCGGGCUCAACCCGGGAACUGCGUCCGAUACUGGAAGGCUUGAAUCCGGGAGAGGGAUGCGGAAUUCCAGGUGUAGCGGUGAAAUGCGUAGAUAUCUGGAGGAACACCGGUGGCGAAGGCGGCAUCCUGGACCGGCAUGACGCUGAGGCGCGAAAGCCAGGGGAGCAAAGCGGG
rnacentral:rRNA from 1 species